GACGAAGGUGGCGAGCGUUGUUCGGAAUCACUGGGCAUAAAGAGCACGUAGGCGGCUAAGUUAGUCGGAUGUGAAAUCCCACGGCCCAACCGUGGAAGUGCCUCCGAUACUGCGAGUCUAGAGGGAACAGGGGCAUGCGGAACUUCCGGUGGAGCGGUGAAAUGCGGUAGAUAUCGGAAGGAACACCGGUGGCGAAAGCGGCGUGCUGG
rnacentral:rRNA from 1 species